rnacentral:rRNA from 1 species
UAACAAGGAUUCCCCUAGUAACUGCGAGUGAAGCGGGAAAAGCUCAAAUUUAAAAUCUGGCAGUUUCACUGUCCGAGUUGUAAUCUGGAGAAGCAUUUUCUGUGUCGGACCGUGUACAAGUCUCUUGGAAUAGAGCGUCAUAGAGGGUGAGAAUCCCGUCCAUGACACGGACUACCGAUGCUUUGUGAUAUGCUCUCGAAGAGUCGAGUUGUUUGGGAAUGCAGCUCAAAAUGGGUGGUAAAUUCCAUCUAAAGCUAAAUAUUGGCGAGAGACCGAUAGCGAACAAGUACCGUGAGGGAAAGAUGAAAAGCACUUUGGAAAGAGAGUUAAACAGUACGUGAAAUUGUUGAAAGGGAAACGCUUGAAGUCAGUCGCGUUGUCUGAGACUCAGCCUUGCUUUGCUUGGUGUAUUUCUCAGUUAACGGGUCAACAUCAAUUUUGGUUGGUGGAUAAAGGUAGAGGGAAUGUGGCAUCUUCGGGUGUGUUAUAGACCUCUACUGCAUACACUGACUGGGAUUGAGGAACGCAGCACGCCUUUUUGGCCGGGGGUUCGCUCCACGUAACGUGCUUAGGAUGUUGACAUAAUGGCUUUAAGCGACCCGUCUUGAAACACGGACCAAGGAGUCUAACAUGCUUGCGAGUGUUCGGGUGGAAAACCCUUGCGCGUAAUGAAAGUGAAAGUUGGGACCCUUCGCGGGGGCACCGACGCCCGGCCCUGAAGUUUACUGACGGUGCUGCGGUAGAGCACGUAUGUUGGGACCCGAAAGAUGGUGAACUAUGCCUGAAUAGGGUGAAGCCAGGGGAAACUCUGGUGGAGGCUCGUAGCGAUUCUGACGUGCAAAUCGAUCGUCAAAUUUGGG